rnacentral:rRNA from 1 species
UGGGGAAUAUUGCACAAUGGGCGCAAGCCUGAUGCAGCCAUGCCGCGUGUGUGAAGAAGGCCUUCGGGUUGUAAAGCACUUUCAGCGAGGAGGAAGGUGGUGAACUUAAUACGUUCAUCAAUUGACGUUACUCGCAGAAGAAGCACCGGCUAACUCCGUGCCAGCAGCCGCGGUAAUACGGAGGGUGCAAGCGUUAAUCGGAAUUACUGGGCGUAAAGCGCACGCAGGCGGUUUGUUAAGUCAGAUGUGAAAUCCCCGGGGCUCAACCUGGGAACUGCAUUUGAAACUGGCAAGCUAGAGUCUCGUAGAGGGGGGCUAGAAUUCCAGGUGUAGCGGUGAAAUGCGUAGAGAUCUGGAGGAAUACCGGUGGCGAAGGCGGCCCCCUGGACGAAGACUGACGCUCAGGUGCGAAAGCGUGGGGAGCAAACAGAUUAGNUACCCUGGUAGUCCAGCGCUGUAAACGAUGUCGAUUUUGGAGGUUGUGCCCCUUGAGGCGUGGCUUCCGGAGCUAACGCGUUAAAGUCGACCG